rnacentral:rRNA from 1 species
GUUCUGGUGCCAGCAGCCGCGGUAAUUCCAGCUCCAAUAGCGUAUAUUAAAGUUGUUGCAGUUAAAAAGCUCGUAGUCGAUUUUCUAAGUGUCAGCAUCUUUUGCCCUCGGGCGAGAUAUUGGCUCUUAUCUGACCGAGAACUUUGUUCGGCCUUCACUGGUCGGCGAUGUAUAUCGGUCAUUUUACUGAGAAAAAAUUAGAGUGUUCAAAGCAGGCUUAACGCCUUGAAUACACAAGCUUGGAAUAAUAGAAUACGACUGAAGUCUUUUUUGUUGGUUAUGAGGCUUUAGUAAUGGUUAAUAGAAACAGUUGGGGGCAUUAGUAUCUAAUUGUCAGAGGUGAAAUUCUUGGAUUUAUUAGAGACUAACUUAUGCGAAAGCAUUUGCCAAAGAUGUUUUCAAUUGAUCAAGAACGAAAGUUAGGGGUUCAAAGACGAUCAGAUACCGUCCUAGUCUUAACUAUAAACGAUUCCGACUAUGGAUUGGGAGGGCUCCAGAGCUCUCUCAGCACAUUAUGAGAAAUCAUAAGUCUUUAGGUUCCGGGGGAAGUAUGGAUGCAAAUCUGAAACUUAAAGGAAUUGACGGAAGGGCACACAAGGAGUGGAGACUGCGGCUUAAUUUGACCCAACACGGGGAAACUUACGCGGGCAAGACAUGGGUAGGAUUGACAGAAAUGAGAGCUCUUUCUUGAUUCUAUGGGUGGUGGUGCAUGGCCGUUCUUAGUUGGUGGAGUGAUUUGUCUGGUUAAUUCCGUUAACGAACGAGACCUUACCCUGCUAAAUAGGAGCUUGAUGAACAAUUGAGUUUCCUUCUUAGAGGGACUAUGUGUGCAAGCACAUGGAAGUUUGAGGCAAUAACAGGUCUGUGAUGCCCCUAGAUGUCCGCGGCCGCACGUGUUCUACAAUGACACUAGCAACAAGUAUGUCCUGCUCCGACAGGAGUUCGGGUAAUCUUCAUAGUUAGUGUCGUGCUUAGGAUUGUCUUUUGUAAUUAUAGGACAUGAAUUAGGAAUUCCUAGUAUAGGUACGUCAUCAUCGUGCCUAGAUUAUGUCCCUGCCCUUUGUAUACACCGCCCGUCGCUCCUACCGAUUGAGAGAUUCAGUAAACCUUCUGGAGUGGGUAGAAUCUUUAAGGUUCUGUCUGCAAAGUUAAGUAAACUAUUAUCUCUUAGA